CACGUAGGGUGCGAGCGUUGUCCGGAAUUAUUGGGCGUAAAGAGCGUGUAGGCGGCCAGGUAGGUCUGCUGUGAAAACUCGAGGCUUAACCUCGAGAUGUCGGCGGAAACCAUCUGGCUAGAGUCCGGAAGAGGAGAAUGGAAUUCCCGGUGUAGCGGUGAAAUGCGCAGAUAUCGGGAAGAACACCCGUGGCGAAGGCGGUUCUCUGGGACGGUACUGACGCUGAGACGCGAAAGCGUGGGGAGCGAACAGG
rnacentral:rRNA from 1 species